rnacentral:rRNA from 1 species
UUUAAUUNGAAGCAACGCGAAGANCCUUACCAAAUCUUGACAUCNUCUGACCCCUCUAGAGAUAGAGUUUUCCCCUUCGGGGGACAGAGUGACAGGUGGUGCAUGGUUGUCGUCAGCUCGUGUCGUGAGAUGUUGGGUUAAGUCCCGCAACGAGCGCAACCCUUAAGCUUAGUUGCCAUCAUUAAGUUGGGCACUCUAAGUUGACUGCCGGUGACAAACCGGAGGAAGGUGGGGAUGACGUCAAAUCAUCAUGCCCCUUAUGAUUUGGGCUACACACGUGCUACAAUGGACAAUACAAAGGGUAGCGAAACCGCGAGGUCAAGCAAAUCCCAUAAAGUUGUUCUCAGUUCGGAUUGUAGUCUGCAACUCGACUAUAUGAAGCUGGAAUCGCUAGUAAUCGUAGAUCAGCAUGCUACGGUGAAUACGUUCCCGGGUCUUGUACACACCGCCCGUCACACCACGAGAGUUUGUAACACCCGAAGCCGGUGGAGUAACCAUUUG